AAUCAACGCUGGCGGCGUGCCUAACACAUGCAAGUCGAACGCGAAAGUCCCGCAAGGGAUGAGUAGAGUGGCAAACGGGUGAGUAACACGUGGGUGACCUACCUUCGAGUGGGGGAUAACGUCCCGAAAGGGACGCUAAUACCGCAUCACAUCCUGCCUUUGAACAGGUGGAGAUCAAAGCUGGGGAUCGCAAGACCUAGCGCUGGAAGAGGGGCCCGCGCCUGAUUAGCUAGUUGGUGAGGUAACGGCUCACCAAGGCAACGAUCAGUAUCCGGCCUGAGAGGGCGGACGGACACACUGGGACUGAGACACGGCCCAGACUCCUACGGGAGGCAGCAGUGGGGAAUUGUUCGCAAUGGGCGCAAGCCUGACGACGCAACGCCGCGUGGAGGAUGAAGACCUGGUCGUAACU
rnacentral:rRNA from 1 species